rnacentral:rRNA from 1 species
UACGUAGGCAGCGAGCGUUGUUCGGAAUUACUGGGCGUAAAGAGUGUGUAGGCGGCGCUCUAAGUUCGGUGUGAAAUCUCUCGGCUUAACUGGGAGGGUGCGCCGGAAACUGGAGUGCUCGAACGUGGGAGAGGAAAGCGGAAUUCCUGGUGUAGCGGUGAAAUGCGUAGAUAUCAGGAGGAACACCGGUGGCGAAGGCGGAUCUCUGGGCCAUUACUGACGCUGAGGAGCGAAAGCGUGGGGAGCGAACAGG